rnacentral:rRNA from 1 species
UACUUGACUAGCUGAGAGGAGGUGCAUGGCCGUCGUCAGUUCGUUACUGUGAAGCAUCCUGUUAAGUCAGGCACGAGCGAGACCCACGCCAACAGUUGCCAGCUCGUCCUCCGGGAUGGUGGGGACACUGUUGGGACCGCUCUGCUAAAGAGGAGGAAGGAAUGGGCAACGGUAGGUCAGCAUGCCCCGAAUUAUCUGGGCUACACGCGGGCUACAAUGGGUGGGACAAUGGGUAUCGACACCGAAAGGUGAAGGCAAUCUCCUAAACCCAUCCGUAGUUCGGAUUGUGGGCUGCAACUCGCCCACAUGAAGCUGGAAUCUGUAGUAAUCGUGUCUCAAAAUGGCACGGUGAAUAUGUCCCUGCUCCUU